rnacentral:rRNA from 1 species
UACAGAGGCCUCGAGCGUUAGGCGGAAUCACUGGGCUUAAAGCGUGUGUAGGCGGACUUCUAAGUACCUUGUGAAAUCCCACGGCUCAACCGUGGAACUGCUGGGUAUAUUGGUUCUCUUGAGCGACCCAGGGGCGAGCGGAACAAACGGUGGAGCGGUGAAAUGCGUAGAUAUCGUUUGGAACGCCAAAGGUGAAAACAGCUCGCUGGGGGUCUGCUGACGCUGAGACACGAAAGCCAGGGAAGCGAACGGG